rnacentral:rRNA from 1 species
GUGUCAGCCGCCGCGGUAAUACGUAGGUGGCAAGCGUUGUCCGGAUUUAUUGGGCGUAAAGCGCGCGCAGGCGGCUAUGUAAGUCUGGUGUUAAAGCCCGGAGCUCAACUCCGGUUCGCAUCGGAAACUGUGUAGCUUGAGUGCAGAAGAGGAAAGCGGUAUUCCACGUGUAGCGGUGAAAUGCGUAGAGAUGUGGAGGAACACCAGUGGCGAAGGCGGCUUUCUGGUCUGUAACUGACGCUGAGGCGCGAAAGCGUGGGGAGCAAACAGGAUUAGAAACCCCUGUAGUCC